rnacentral:misc_RNA from 1 species
CAAUUGAUCAUGAUUGCUGGCAUGUAAGUAUAUGGAAAUCUCGAGUAUAUGUGUUGUUUCCAUACUGUUUUGUGUUGAUUUGCAAUAAUAGAAGUUGGUAUAAGAACUAUUGAUACCCGUUGUUCUAAUUUUUGGUGAUAUUUUUAAAUUGUUUUGGUGUUACUUUACAUUAUGUUAGCUUUAUUAGUUUCAUUAUGUGUUAUGGGCUUGUUUUUACAGCAGUAAUGUUGUAGGAGACUCGUUUUUGUUCACUCAGGUUUAGAACAAUGUAAAAGCUUCUCAUUUUUAUCAUUUUCUUUGGAAGUUUCUUCACUAAAAGCUCUGUUCCAAUUGAAGAAAUUAUUCAGUCCCAUACAUUGGAGCAAGUCAAAUUGUGUUACUUUUAUCAUUGUUAGCGCUUGGAUUUUUUCUUUCCCUUUUAUCUAUGAUGUGUAUUGAACCUAAGAGUUCCUUUUUGCUGUUUAAAUAUUGCCUUUGGUUGUCUAUCGAA